AUGGGUGAGACACCAUCAGGCUCCUGCUGCCACCUCACCACUGUUCCCCUUCCAGGUGGCCACACAGUGAUGAGGCUGGAGCAGCCAGCUGUAGUCGUGGCAUGUGAGAGCACCUCAGCUACCCUGUCUUGCACAGCCAACACCAAGGUCAACUACAUCCACUGGUACCGCCACCAGGAGGGAAAGUCCCUCCAGCGGAUCCUCCAUCUGACCAUGGACCAAUCUGUCGUCCACUGGGAUUUGGUUGAGAAAGCAGAAAAAGUCACCGCCAUAGGGGCCAAGGAUGGUUAUAGCUGUACCCUGUUAGUGUUGAAGCUGGAGAAGAGUGACGAGGACAUGUACUACUGCGCUUUCUGGGAAUACCACAGCCCUGUGAUCUGA